CAGCUUAUACGCUUGUUAAAAAAACGAGAAGAAACGUUUCGAAGCGAGUGCUUGGGUUGGGUGCUUGGAAGACUGUUUUACUCGUUGUUACACGAAUUUCUUAUCUUGUCAGUGGUUGCAUUAUUUGUUUUACAUCAACUUUCGUUCAUCGCACCGUUUAUUACAACGAACGCAAAACUAUGGUUGGAUUUGUAAAUGAUACUUUAUCAGUGUUCUUAGUAGAUCAUUUCAGAGAUGACAUGGAAAGUAAUAUACGAGAGAAAUAUCCGGAUGUAAAAAUUUGUUUUUAUCCUGGCAAUAAAAACAGCUACAACCAUACAAAGCCGUAUCAACUUUCCGACAGACAUUUUGAGCUUGUUUCCAUAAAAUUCCUUGCGAUCGUCGCUUACAUCCACAUAGUUUAUUUCAUUAAUGCAAUUUUAUCAUAUUUGAUCCCAAAAAUGCCCGCUUUAAUCGAAGAAAGCUUAUUCGAGGACGACAAAGCGAAGCGAAUGAAGGAACUUGAUAAAAUAAGUAAAAA